rnacentral:rRNA from 1 species
AUACGGAGGAUGCGAGCGUUAUCCGGAUUUAUUGGGUUUAAAGGGAGCGUAGGUGGGAUAUUAAGUCAGCUGUGAAAGUUUGGGGCUCAACCUUAAAAUUGCAGUUGAUACUGGUUUCCUUGAGUACGGUACAGGUGGGCGGAAUUCGUGGUGUAGCGGGGAAAUGCUUAGAUAUCACGAAGAACUCCGAUCGCGAAGGCAGCUCACCGGGCUGGAACUGACACUGAUGCUCGAAAGUGCGGGUAUCAAACAGGAUUAGAUACCCUGGUAGUCCGCACAGUAAACGAUGAAUACUCGCUGUUUGCGAUACACGGUAAGCGGCCAAGCGAAAGCGUUAAGUAUUCCACCUGAGGAGUACGCCGGCAACGGUGAAACUUAAAGGAAUCGACGGGG